ACGCAAUAGAUACCCCGGUAGUCCACGCCCUAAACGAUGUCUACUAGUUGUCGGGUCUUAAUUGACUUGGUAAACGCAGCUAAACGCGUGAAGUAGACCGCCUGGGGAGUACGGUCGCAAGAUUAAAACUCAAAGGAAUUGACGGGGACCCGCACAAGCGGUGGAUGAUGUGGAUUAAUUCGAUGCAACGCGAAAAACCUUACCUACCCUUGACAUGGAAGGAAUCCCUGAGAGAUUGGGGAGUGCUCGAAAGAGAACCUUUACACAGGUGCUGCAUGGCUGUCGUCAGCUCGUGUCGUGAGAUGUUGGGUUAAGUCCCGCAACGAGCGCAACCCUUGUCAUUAGUUGCUACGAAAGGGCACUCUAAUGAGACUGCCGGUGAC
rnacentral:rRNA from 1 species